AAAGUCGUAACAAGGUUUCCGUAGGUGAACCUGCGGAAGGAUCAUUCAUAAUAAGUGUUUUAUGGCACUUUUUAAAAUCCAUAUCCACCUUGUGUGCAAUGUAAUUGAGAUUUGAAGAGAAAAAAAAAGAUUUGGGAUUUUAUUCCAAGUUUUUUCUCUUUUUUUCAUGUCUCUCUCAAUUUAUAAACUCUUAUUAUAAUUUUUCUGUCUGAAAACUAUUAUGAAUACUUAAUUCAAAAUACAACUUUCAACAACGGAUCUCUUGGCUCUC
rnacentral:misc_RNA from 1 species